UUUGAUAUAUUUAAUUUAGAAUUUAUUUUUUGGGAAAAUGAGGACGUAGUCAAAUAGUUUUGGAGGGGGCCCCUCCUUCUCGCUGCUC
rnacentral:tRNA from 1 species